rnacentral:rRNA from 1 species
GUGUCAGCAGCCGCGGUAAUACAGAGGUGGCAAGCGUUGUUCGGAAUUACUGGGCGUAAAGGGCGCGUAGGCGGCCUUCUAAGUCAGACGUGAAAUCCCCAGGCUUAACUUGGGAACUGCGUCUGAUACUGGGAGGCUUGAGUGCGGGAGAGGGAUGUGGAAUUCCAGGUGUAGCGGUGAAAUGCGUAGAUAUCUGGAGGAACACCGGUGGCGAAGGCGGCAUCCUGGACCGACACUGACGCUGAGGCGCGAAAGCUAGGGGAGCAAACGGGAUUAGAUACCCCUGUAGUCC